rnacentral:rRNA from 1 species
GACGAACGCUGGCGGCGUGCCUAAUACAUGCAAGUCGAACGCGUGGCGAACGGGUGAGUCAUACGUGAGUAAACUGCCCUCUUUUUGGGAUAAGCCUUUGGAAAGGGGUCUAAUACCGGAUAAAGGGGGAUGGGCUCGCGGCCUUUGAGCUUGUUGGUGGGUUGAUGGCCUACCAAGGCGGUGACGGAUAGCCGGCCUGAGAGGGUGACCGGCCACAUUGGGACGGAGAUACGGCCUAGAGUACUACGGGAGGGAGCAGUGGGGGAUAUUGCACAAUGGGCGAAAGCCUGAUGCAGCGACGCCGCGGGGGGGAUGAAGGCUUUCGGGUUGUAAACCUCUUGCGCUAGCGAACGGGUAGGUGGAGAAGAAGCGCCGGCUAACUACGUGCCAGCAGCCGCGGUAAUUC